GGGAAUUUUGGGCAAUGGGCGAAAGCCUGACCCAGCAACGCCGCGUGAGGGAUGAAGUAUUUCGGUAUGUAAACCUCGAAAGAAUGGGAAGAAUAAAUGACGGUACCAUUUAUAAGCUCCGGCUAACUACGUGCCAGAAGCCGCGGUAAUACGUAGGGAGCAAGAGUUGUUCGGAUUUACUGGGCGUAAAGGGCGCGUAGGCGGCGCGGUAAGUCACUUGUGAAAUCUCUGAGCUUAACUCAGAACGGGCAAGUGAUACUGCUGUGCUGGAGUGCGGAAGGGGCAGCCGGAAUUCUCGGUGUAGCGGUGAAAUGCGUAGAUAUCAAGAGGAACACCUGAGGCGAAGGCGGGUUGCUGGGCCGACACUGACGCUGAGGCGCGAAAGCGUGGGGAGCGAA
rnacentral:rRNA from 1 species